GAUGAACGCUAGCUACAGGCUUAACACAUGCAAGUCGAGGGGUAACGAGAGGAAAGCUUGCUUUCCUUGUCGACGACCGGCGCACGGGUGAGUAACGCGUAUCCAACCUGCCCCCAACUAGGGAAUAACCUUGCGAAAGUAAGACUAAUACCCUAUAAUUUCCUCAGAUGUCAUCUGACGAGGAAUAAAGAUUUAUCGGUUGUGGAUGGGGAUGCGUCUGAUUAGCUUGUUGGCGGGGUAACGGCCCACCAAGGCAACGAUCAGUAGGGGUUCUGAGAGGAAGGUCCCCACCGUUGGAACUGAGACACGGUCCAAACUCCUACGGGAGGCAGCAGUGAGGGAUAUUGGUCAAUGGGCGGAAGCCUGAACCAGCCAAGUAGCGUGCAGGAUGACGGCCCUAUGGGUUGUAAACUGCUUUUAUACAGGAAUAAAGUUAGCCACGUGUGGUUAUUUGUAGGUACUGUAUGAAUAAGGACCGGCUAAUUCCGUGCCAGCCGCCGCAGUAA
rnacentral:rRNA from 1 species